rnacentral:rRNA from 1 species
CCUACGGGCGGCAGCAGUAGGGAAUAUUGCUCAAUGGGGGAAACCCUGAAGCAGCAACGCCGCGUGGAGGAUGAAGGUUUUCGGAUUGUAAACUCCUUUUGUUAGAGAAGAUAAUGACGGUAUCUAACGAAUAAGCACCGGCUAACUCCGUGCCAGCAGCCGCGGGAAUACGGAGGGUGCAAGCGUUACUCGGAAUCACUGGGCGUAAAGAGCGCGUAGGCGGGAUAGCAAGUCAGAUGUGAAAUCCUAUGGCUUAACCAUAGAACUGCAUUUGAAACUGUUAUUCUAGAGUAUGGGAGAGGUAGGUGGAAUUCUUGGUGUAGGGGUAAAAUCCGUAGAGAGCAAGAGGAAUACUCAUUGCGAAGGCGACCUGCUAGAACAUAACUGACGCUGAUGCGCGAAAGCGUGGGGAGCAAACAGGAUUAGAUACCCUAGUAGUC